AGCUCAUAUACUAAAAACUAAAAAAAAAAACUGGAACGACACAGAGAAGAUUAGCAUGGUGCCUGCGCAAGGAAGACAUGCAAAUUGGCCAGGUGUUCCAUAUUAUU
rnacentral:snRNA from 1 species